rnacentral:rRNA from 1 species
GAGGAACGCUGGCGGCGUGCCUAAUACAUGCAAGUCGAGCGAACGGACGAGAAGCUUGCUUCUCUGAUGUUAGCGGCGGGCGGGUGAGUAACACGUGGAUAACCUACCUAUAAGACUGGGAUAACUUCGGGAAACCGGAGCUAAUACCGGAUAAUAUUUUGAACCGCAUGGUUCAAAAGUGAAAGACGGUCUUGCUGUCACUUAUAGAUGGAUCCGCGCUGCAUUAGCUAGUUGGUAAGGUAACGGCUUACCAAGGCAACGAUGCAUAGCCGACCUGAGAGGGUGAUCGGCCACACUGGAACUGAGACACGGUCCAGACUCCUACGGGAGGCAGCAGUAGGGAAUCUUCCGCAAUGGGCGAAAGCCUGACGGAGCAACGCCGCGUGAGUGAUGAAGGUCUUCGGAUCGUAAAACUCUGUUAUUAGGGAAGAACAUAUGUGUAAGUAACUGUGCACAUCUUGACGGUACCUAAUCAGAAAGCCACGGCUAACUACGUGCCAGCAGCCGCGGUAAUACGUAGGUGGCAAGCGUUAUCCGGAAUUAUUGGGCGUAAAGCGCACGUAGGCGGUUUUUUAAGUCUGAUGUGAAAGCCCACGGCUCAACCGUGGAGGGUCAUUGGAAACUGGAAAACUUGAGUGCAGAAGAGGAAAGUGGAAUUCCAUGUGUAGCGGUGAAAUGCGCAGAGAUAUGGAGGAACACCAGUGGCGAAGGCGACUUUCUGGUCUGUAACUGACGCUGAUGUGCGAAAGCGUGGGGAUCAAACAGGAUUAGAUACCCUGGUAGUCCACGCCGUAAACGAUGAGUGCUAAGUGUUAGGGGGUUUCCGCCCCUUAGUGCUGCAGCUAACGCAUUAAGCACUCCGCCUGGGGAGUACGACCGCAAGGUUGAAACUCAAAGGAAUUGACGGGGACCCGCACAGGCGGUGGAGCAUGUGGUUUAAUUCGAAGCAACGCGAAGAACCUUACCAAAUCUUGACAUCCUUUGACAACUCUAGAGAUAGAGCUUUCCCCUUCGGGGGACAAAGUGACAGGUGGUGCAUGGUUGUCGUCAGCUCGUGUCGUGAGAUGUUGGGUUAAGUCCCGCAACGAGCGCAACCCUUAAGCUUAGUUGCCAUCAUUAAGUUGGGCACUCUAAGUUGACUGCCGGUGACAAACCGGAGGAAGGUGGGGAUGACGUCAAAUCAUCAUGCCCCUUAUGAUUUGGGCUACACACGUGCUACAAUGGACAAUACAAAGGGCAGCGAAACCGCGAGGUCAAGCAAAUCCCAUAAAGUUGUUCUCAGUUCGGAUUGUAGUCUGCAACUCGACUACAUGAAGCUGGAAUCGCUAGUAAUCGUAGAUCAGCAUGCUACGGUGAAUACGUUCCCGGGUCU